ACUGCGAGGCAGGCAGUGAUGCUGCGGCCGCUUCGCACUGUGGCUCCUGCCGACCGCCAGGCGCUGUUACAGUGGAUGCGAACUAACCGUAAGUAUGCAGCAGCAGCCGGAACCCACAGUUCACCUUGGUGCAUUCCUUUAUGAUGAAGACUUAUUGAUUCAUUAUAUGAGAAAGGAAAAAUGAGCAGAAACUACUGUAUGAUGUGCAGCUCACACCAGACAGCAACUUUAGGGUUAUCUUUCCAGUUCAGCAGUGCAACUCUAUGGAGUAGAAUUGAAAGGAGACUUUUCGCCAAUUGCAGGAAAUGGUCAUAAAAAAAUACCUGCUCACUGACAGAAUAAAGUCUCACUCUGUCACCUGGCUGGAGUUUAGUGACACGAUCUUAGCUCCCUGCAACCUCUGCCUCCUGAGUUCAAGUGAUUCUCCUACCUCAGCCUCCUGAGUAGCUGGAAUUACAGAGUAAUUUAUCCCUACUUACAGAGAGAUUGCCCUACGUGUAACAGCUGCAUACAAAAAAGUUAUAAAAUUAUCAUUGGUUUAACAAGGAUAAGUGAAAAACAUU
rnacentral:lncRNA from 10 species